rnacentral:tRNA from 1 species
GGAGAGAUGACCGAGAGGCCGAAGGUGCACGCUUGGAAAGCGUGUGUGCCCUUACCCGGGCACCGUGGGUUCGAAUCCCACUCUCUCCG